GCCGGGAUGGGCCAGCUUGGAUAUGCUCGGGGACUGUGGAUCCCCGGACUCGGGUUCAAAUCCCGAUCCCGGCC
rnacentral:tRNA from 1 species